rnacentral:rRNA from 1 species
GGUUAAGUGAAUAAGGGCGCACGGUGGAUGCCUUGGCACUAGGAGCCGAUGAAGGACGGGACUAACACCGAUAUGCUUCGGGGAGCUGUAAGUAAGCUUUGAUCCGGAGAUUUCCGAAUGGGGAAACCCAGCAUCUUUUAUAGGAUGUUACUUUUCAGUGAAUACAUAGCUGAUU